CUGAUGUCAUCAGGUCUGGGCUACCUUCUAGAUGUGGCAGAAUAUCAACCCUGCAACUGUCUGAGGGAUUCCACAGCCCUGAGCACUUCCAGACUUGCAGCUGGUGAGAUAACCCAGCAUGCUUGGAAGGAUGGCAGGAUGCGGAAGGCUGGAGUGACUACGUGGUGAGAGAGAUAAUGACUGAAUUCUUCGGGGCUUUCUUUAAGUUUCCUUCCAGACGGCACCGACAGCUUCCAGAAUACCCAGGUGCUGGCUCUCGCUCAAGCAGUCAUGCACUGGGACACGGCGGACAGAGCGUGUGACAUUCAGACCAGGGCCCCCACAUGGUUCCACAAAGCCCUGAGCAGGCAGUUGUUAGGACACCAGGGAUUGGUGCCAAUUAUCAGCAGUGUGGGGAGGGAGAUGCAGGGCUGGGUGGACCUUGGGUAAUUUUCUUGACUUUUCAUGGCCUCAGUUUAUGGAUCUAUAUAAUGGGGGCAUUAUUUCUUGCUAUUAUACUGUGGGGUUGUCACAAUAAUUAAAUAAACAUUACUU